CCUACGGGAGGCAGCAGUGGGGAAUGUUGCGCAAUGGGCGAAAGCCUGACGCAGCGACGCCGCGUGGGGGAUGAAGGCCUUCGGGUUGUAAACCCCUUUCAGCAGGGACGAAGCGAGAGUGACGGUACCUGCAGAAGAAGCGCCGGCUAACUACGUGCCAGCAGCCGCGGUAAU
rnacentral:rRNA from 1 species